CCUACGGGGGGCAGCAGUGAGGAAUAUUGGUCAAUGGACGAGAGUCUGAACCAGCCAAGUAGCGUGAAGGAUGACUCCCCUAUGGGUUGUAAACUUCUUUUAUAUGGGAAUAAAACGUUCCACGUGUGGGAUUUUGUAUGUACCAUAUGAAUAAGGAUCGGCUAACUCCGUGCCAGCAGCCGCGGUAAUACGGAGGAUCCGAGCGUUAUCCGGAUUUAUUGGGUUUAAAGGGAGCGUAGGUGGAUUGUUAAGUCAGUUGUGAAAGUUUGCGGCUCAACCGUAAAAUUGCAGUUGAAACUGGCAGUCUUGAGUACAGUAGAGGUGGGCGGAAUUCGUGGUGUAGCGGUGAAAUGCUUAGAUAUCACGAAGAACUCCGAUUGCGAAGGCAGUUCACUGGACUGCAACUGACACUGAGGCUCGAAAGUGUGGGUAUCAAACAGGAUUAGAUACCCUGGUAGUC
rnacentral:rRNA from 1 species